rnacentral:rRNA from 1 species
GACGAACGCUGGCGGCGUGCCUAAUACAUGCAAGUUGAGCGCUGAAGGUUGGUACUUGUACCAACUGGAUGAGCAGCGAACGGGUGAGUAACGCGUGGGGAAUCUGCCUUUGAGCGGGGGACAACAUUUGGAAACGAAUGCUAAUACCGGAUAAAAACUUUAAACACAAGUCUUAAGUUUGAAAGAUGCAAUUGCAUCACUCAAAGAUGAUCCCUGGUUGUAUUAGCUAGUUGGUGAGGUAAAGGCUCACCAAGGCGAUGAUACAUAGCCGACCUGAGAGGGGGAUCGGCCACAUUGGGACUGAGACACGGCCCAAACUCCUACGGGAGGCAGCAGUAGGGAAUCUUCGGCAAUGGACGAAAGUCUGACCGAGCAACGCCGCGUGAGUGAAGAAGGUUUUCGGAUCGUAAAACUCUGUUGGUAGAGAAGAACGUUGGUGAGAGUGGAAAGCUCAUCAAGUGACGGUAACUACCCAGAAAGGGACGGCUAACUACGUGCCAGCAGCCGCCGUAA